GGAUUCCGGUUGAUCCUGCCGGACCCGACUGCUAUUUGGGUGAGAAUAAGCCAUGCGAGUUGAAUGGGAUACCUAAAUGUCCCAUAGCAAACUGCUCAGUAACACAUGAUCAACUUACCCUAUAGAGAAGAAUAACCUCGGGAAACUGAGGAUAAUGCUUCAUAGUUGAAACGGCUUGGAAAAGUUUUUCAAUAGAAAGGAUAAGAAAAAUGGUUCUUAUUCGCUAUAGGAUAGGAUCGUGGACGAUUAUGGUUGUUGGUGAGAUAACGGCUCACCAAGCCGAUAAUCGAUAGGGGCCGUGAGAGCGGGAGCCCCGAGAUGGGUACUGAGACAACGACCCAGGCCUUACGAGGCGCAGCAGGCGCGGAACCUCAUCAAUACACGAAAGUGUGAAUGGGUUACCCAAAGUGUUCAAUUUUGAACUGUGGUAGGUGAGUAAUGUUCCCUACUAGAAAGGAGAGGGCAAGGCUGGUGCCAGCCGCCGCGGUAAAACCAGCUCUUCAAGUGGUCGGGAUAAUUAUUGGGCUUAAAGUGUCCGUAGCCGGUUUAGUAAGUUCCUGGUAAAAUCGGGUAGCUUAACUAUCUGUAUGCUAGGAAUACUGCUAUACUAGAGGGCGGGAGAGGUCUGAGGUACUACAGGGGUAGGGGUGAAAUCUUAUAAUCCUUGUAGGACCACCAGUGGCGAAGGCGUCAGACUGGAACCCGCCUGACGGUGAGGGACGAAAGCCAGGGGAGCGAACCGGAUUAGAUACCCGGGUAGUCCUGGCCGUAAACGAUGCAUACUAGGUGAUGAUACGGCCAUGAGCCGUAUCAGUGCCGUAGGGAAACCGUUAAGUGUGCCGCCUGGGAAGUACGGUCGCAAGGCUAAAACUUAAAGGAAUUGGCGGGGGAGCACCACAAGGGGUGAAGCCUGCGGUUCAAUUGGACACAACGCCGGGAAACUUACCAGGGGAGACAGCAGAAUGAUGGUCAGGUUGACGACCUUACCUAACAAGCUGAGAGGAGGUGCAUGGCCGUCGCCAGUUCGUGCCGUGAGGUAUCCUGUUAAGUCAGGCAACGAACGAGAUCCGCGCCUUUAUUUGCCAGCAAGAAGUCACGACUUCGUUGGGAACACUAAAGGGACCGCCGUCGAUAAGACGGAGGAAUGAGCGGGCAAAGGCAGGUCAGUAUGCCCCGAAACCCCUGGGCUACACGCGGGCUGCAAUGGUAUGAACAAU
rnacentral:rRNA from 1 species